GGGGGGGGGGGGGGGGGGGGGGGGGGGGGGGGGGGGGGGGGGGGGGGGGGGGGGGGGGGAAGGUGUUUACGGCCGCCACAAUAACGGCAGCCCCAGGGCUGGCAGCUCCCCAGUGUGCCAGGCUGGGGGGAAACAGGGACCCCAAGGCCCCUGAACUGCCUCCUUUCAGGGUUCAGGGCUGUCUCCUUGGGCCUGUUUCCCCCAAAGCAGAAGAUUUCAGUACACCCCACUGGGGAGGUGUUUUCUGUUUGUCUGGAAGUGCUGGCACUGAUGGGUGAUGCUCCUCCUCUUUGUCCACGGUUGCUGUGACCCACAGGGCUGCAGCCCUUAAAGCUGUAACUUGAUUCUGCAGCCCUAUAAAUACGACCAGAGCACCCUAUAAAUAUGGCCAGUGCAAAACAGUAACAGUAACUGCAGAAACAGUCAUCUAAGCUAGUUAAAUAUAAAGGACUGUAAUCCAGCAGAUUAGCUGAGCGUGGAUGGGGAGCCACAGGGACCCCAGGAGGAGUGUCUGCCCAGUGCUCCAUGCUCAGCAGGCAAGGAGCAAUGCCAGGCAGCCCUUCACUGAUGUGCAAACACCCUGAGGACGAGCAGUUCUGCAGUGGUGAAGGUGGAAUUUGGCCAUGGAGCAGUCCAGUUCCUAGAGAGGUUCACGAGGAAUCUGCCACGGGAUUUUUGGGCGUGGGGUCAGCUCCCAUGUUGGGGCUCAGAGGCUGCUCCUGGUGGCCACUGGGGACUGAUCUCUCUCUGAAGCCACCGUGUCCUGUCAUGGCACCAGGCAAAGGAAGCUCCGUUUGGCAGAAAAUAUUACAGCACGUUGCUCAGCUGGCUCUGCAGGACGUGGAAAACAAGCAGGAGGGAUGGGAGCAGCAGGGAGGAGAGGGCAGAGCAGAGGAAAACCUCACCUCAGGCAGCAGAGUGCCAGGGCUGGGGGGAAACUCACACCAUGCCAUUUUCCACAGUCAUCCUUGCUGCCCUGGAAACAGAAGCUGGAUCCUGGAAGUGCUGCUGGAAGAGAAGAUGCACCAUAAAUUUUAACUGUAAGGCAACCCCAAAGAGGCAAUAAAUAUGCCUGCCUGCACAUCCCCAUGCCAGCCUUCACACCUCUUCCCAUUCUGACACCCAGAGGUGGCAUCUGACCUCUGGGACCUGUCCUGCCCCAUUGCAGAGGCCCCACCUGAGUCCUGUCCAGC
rnacentral:lncRNA from 12 species